CCAUACGUACUCCAAUCCCGGUUUACCGUGCCACCCAUCACCUCCUGACACCUUUUCCCCACUCCCGGUCAUUUCAGCCGAAAGUAUGUAGCUUACUUCCUCACCUGCUACCACUGUUUGCCACCGCCGGUCAUCUGAGUCCCAUCCUCAUUAAUGUCAUGCAGAAAAGCGGCAGACAUAACAGUCAACUAUUAUUUGGCGUAAUGAUUACCGGUCAAAGUUGGGUUAAGUGACAAUUUACAUAAUGGGCUAAUUCAAUGACUAAGCCCAAAUGAAGGAAAUGACCCAUAUGACCGGAUCCAACCGAGAUAACCCAACGAAAUGAUCAAGUAAUUGGGCCUAUAUCAUUCGGAUCAAUAGGACAAAAGUAACAUAAUCCAAG
rnacentral:lncRNA from 1 species